rnacentral:lncRNA from 1 species
CUAGAGUGCUCGGUGUAAGAGCCAGGGUCCUGACCCGCCACCUCAAAGAUACACCGGCGGAACGAAGUGACCGCUGCUGGGAAUCAAUAGACGAGACACGGCACUACUGGAUCAAGUCGACUUUCUGCAUGAAGGAUUGUGAAUUGAGCACGCCUGAAACCUUCCGGAAUUUUUGCUGGCCCAUAUGGUUCAUCUAUGUGAUCAGUCAACCCUCUAUAUCAGAUCCUCCCGAGGACGCUUGAUGUCAUCUUGUCCUCCUGGUCAUUAUACUACCUGCUCCUCUCAACAAUACUGCCUUCUCGCUGCUUCUCCACUUGAACUGCCUGGCUGGCCCUCUUCUCUCAAACCAUGGUCGUCUUGUUUGUUCAAGCCUUCCACAGUUUUGUUUCUCAGCUCCUGCCUUUUCCGGUUUUUAUUUUCUCGCCCUCCUGGUUUUGACGCACGCCUGCCUGACCACUCUGCCUGUCCCUGAGCCCGCCUACCGUCCUGUACCUUUGCCACUACUGUGGAUUAUCAACCCCUGCCUGCCUUGACCUGUCGUUUGCCUGCCCCUGUUGUUACAAUAAACAUUGUUACCUCUACACAGUCUGCACUUGGGUCUUACCCUGAUUCCUGAUAGAGAUGUGUGAUUUACAAG